GGAAUCUUCCACAAUGGACGCAAGUCUGAUGGAGCAACGCCGCGUGAGUGAAGAAGGUUUUCGGACCGUAAAGCUCUGUUGUUGGUGAAGAAGGAUAGAGGUAGUAACUGGCCUUUAUUUGACGGUAAUCAACCAGAAAGUCACGGCUAACUACGUGCCAGCAGCCGCGGUAAUACGUAGGUGGCAAGCGUUGUCCGGAUUUAUUGGGCGUAAAGCGAGCGCAGGCGGAAGAAUAAGUCUGAUGUGAAAGCCCUCGGCUUAACCGAGGAAUUGCAUCGGAAACUGUUUUCUUGAGUGCAGAAGAGGAGAGUAGAACUCCAUGUGUAGCGGUGGAAUGCGUAGAUAUAUGGAAGAAUACCAGUGGCGAAGGCGGCUCUCUGGUCUGCAACUGACGCUGAGGCUCGAAAAGCAUGGGUAGCGAACAGGAUUAGAUACCCUGGUAGUCCAUGCCGUAAAACGAUGAGUGCUAAGUGUUGGGAGGCUUCCGCCUCUCAGUGCUGCAGCUAACGCAUUAAGCACUCCGCCUGGGGGAGUACGACCGC
rnacentral:rRNA from 1 species